ACCCGAUUUCCAGAUUGAUUAUCGUUUUUUAUUUCCCGGUUUAAUAAAUAUACCUAUCGAAUCUUAGUAAUGAAUGACAGUGAA
rnacentral:tRNA from 1 species